UUCAGACAAUGAGGGCCUUACACAGAACUAGAGCUUACAGAGGUUUCCUGAAUGUGUGACAUGGGAAGCCUCUGGUUAGGUGACUCCAGCUGUGUUUUGUGGGACCCGCAUUCUGCGAGGGAAACUUGGUGAGCAUCUGGGAAACACACAGAUGUGACUGCAAAGGAACAAGAACCCAGCACAGGAAAGGUUCGAAAGGCAAUAGGGCCAAGCUACUAGUGACUGAAACCUCUGAAACCAUGAGCUUCCUUCAGUUGAUUGUCUCAGAAACACAGAUUACCUCUCAGCAAGUACAACUUGCUGCUUAUGCUUGGACAGCUUCAUGUGAGGUAAUAAUUGUACAAAUGUGGAUGUCUCAGCCAAGACAGACGUGGAGCCAGGGCUGCUGAUGAGGUAUAAAGAAGAGAUUUCUCCCUCCCUUCUCCAGUCUGCUGGCCCUUGUGUUCAUGACAUCUCCUGAGAGAUUGGCAUCUCUAGUAUAUAAGGCCUCCCAAACUUACCGCCAGGAGAGAUUUUUCUGAUGGAAUAAUACAACAACAGCCCUGUUAUGAAGAAUUCACUUAUGGAAAUGCUACCUUAACCAAUCAUGAUCAAAUAAGGACACUGUAAUCACCCACUGAAGACCAAGACAGUAGAGGAACGGGCCAAGAUAUGUGCAUAUUUAGAAGUAGGAAGACAAAUGAGCAAAAGUUCAAAACAAAGACUGUGCUGGAGCAACACAGGCACUGGUGCAAUUUGGAAGACAGUACAAUGGUGUGGGACUGUGCCCCUAAGGGGCAGUCACUGGA